rnacentral:rRNA from 1 species
GAUGAACGCUGGCGGCGUGCCUAAUACAUGCAAGUCGAGCGAACGGACGAGAAGCUUGCUUCUCUGAUGUUAGCGGCGGACGGGUGAGUAACACGUGGAUAACCUACCUAUAAGACUGGGAUAACUUCGGGAAACCGGAGCUAAUACCGGAUAAUAUUUUGAACCGCAUGGUUCAAAAGUGAAAGACGGUCUUGCUGUCACUUAUAGAUGGAUCCGCGCUGCAUUAGCUAGUUGGUAAGGUAACGGCUUACCAAGGCAACGAUGCAUAGCCGACCUGAGAGGGUGAUCGGCCACACUGGAACUGAGACACGGUCCAGACUCCUACGGGAGGCAGCAGUAGGGAAUCUUCCGCAAUGGGCGAAAGCCUGACGGAGCAACGCCGCGUGAGUGAUGAAGGUCUUCGGAUCGUAAAACUCUGUUAUUAGGGAAGAACAUAUGUGUAAGUAACUGUGCGCAUCUUGACGGUACCUAAUCAGAAAGCCACGGCUAACUACGUGCCAGCAGCCGCGGUAAUACGUAGGUGGCAAGCGUUAUCCGGAAUUAUUGGGCGUAAAGCGCGCGUAGGCGGUUUUUUAAGUCUGAUGUGAAAGCCCACGGCUCAACCGUGGAGGGUCAUUGGAAACUGGAAAACUUGAGUGCAGAAGAGGAAAGUGGAAUUCCAUGCGUAGCGGUGAAAUGCGCAGAGAUAUGGAGGAACACCAGUGGCGAAGGCGACUUUCUGGUCUGUAACUGACGCUGAUGUGCGAAAGCGUGGGGAUCAAACAGGAUUAGAUACCCUGGUAGUCCACGCCGUAAACGAUGAGUGCUAAGUGUUAGGGGGUUUCCGCCCCUUAGUGCUGCAGCUAACGCAUUAAGCACUCCGCCUGGGGAGUACGACCGCAAGGUUGAAACUCAAAGGAAUUGACGGGGACCCGCACAAGCGGUGGAGCAUGUGGUUUAAUUCGAAGCAACGCGAAGAACCUUACCAAAUCUUGACAUCCUUUGACAACUCUAGAGAUAGAGCCUUCCCCUUCGGGGGACAAAGUGACAGGUGGUGCAUGGUUGUCGUCAGCUCGUGUCGUGAGAUGUUGGGUUAAGUCCCGCAACGAGCGCAACCCUUAAGCUUAGUUGCCAUCAUUAAGUUGGGCACUCUAAGUUGACUGCCGGUGACAAACCGGAGGAAGGUGGGGAUGACGUCAAAUCAUCAUGCCCCUUAUGAUUUGGGCUACACACGUGCUACAAUGGACAAUACAAAGGGCAGCGAAACCGCGAGGUCAAGCAAAUCCCAUAAAGUUGUUCUCAGUUCGGAUUGUAGUCUGCAACUCGACUACAUGAAGCUGGAAUCGCUAGUAAUCGUAGAUCAGCAUGCUACGGUGAAUACGUUCCCGGGUCU